UACGAAGGGGGCUAGCGUUGCUCGGAUUGACUGGGCGUAAAGGGCGCGUAGGCGGUCUGUACAGUCAGGCGUGAAAUUCCUGGGCUCAACCUGGGGGCUGCGUUUGAUACGUGCAGACUAGAGUGCGGAAGAGGGUCGUGGAAUUCCCAGUGUAGAGGUGAAAAUUCGUAGAUAUUGGGAAGAACACCGGUGGCGAAGGCGGCGACCUGGUCCGAUACUGACGCUGAGGCGCGAAAGCGUGGGGAGCAAACAGG
rnacentral:rRNA from 1 species